rnacentral:rRNA from 1 species
GACGUAGGGCGCGAGCGUUGUCCGGAUUUAUUGGGCGUAAAGAGCUCGUAGGCGGCUUGUCGCGUCGUCCGUGAAAACCUGGGGCUCAACUCGUGGGCGUGCGGUCGAUACGGGCAUCACUUGAGUUCGGCAGGGAGACUGGAAUUCCUGGUGUAGCGGUGAAAUGCGCAGAUAUCAGGAGGAACACCGGUGGCGAAGGCGGGUCUCUGGGCCGAUACUGACGCUGAGGAGCGAAAGCGUGGGGAGCGAACAGG